AGCGAACGCUGGCGGCAGGCCUAACACAUGCAAGUCGAACGAAGCCUUCGGGCUUAGUGGCGGAGGGGGGAGUAACACGUGGGAACGUACCUUUUGGUUCGGAACAACUCAGGGAAACUUGAGCUAAUACCGGAUGAGCCUGUAGGGGGAAAGAUUUAUCGCCGCAAGAGCGGCCCGCGUGAGAUUAGCUAGUUGGUGCGGUAAAGGCUCACCAAGGGAACGAUCUACAGCUGGUCUGAGAGGAUGAGCAGCCACACUGGGACGGGGACACGGCCCAGACUCCUACGGGAGGCAGCAGUGGGGAAUCUUGCGCAAUGGGCGAAAGCCUGACGCAGCCAUGCCGCGUGAAUGAUGAAGGUCUUAGGAUUGUAAAAUUCUUUUACCAGGGACGAUAAUGACGGUACCUGGAGAAAAAGCCCCGGCUAACUUCGUGCCAGCAGCCGCAGUAAAAC
rnacentral:rRNA from 1 species